AAUUUUGGACAAUGGGGGAAACCCUGAUCCAGCCAUCCCGCGUGUAUGAUGAAGGCCUUCGGGUUGUAAAGUACUUUUGGCCGAGAAGAAAAGGUAUCUCCUAAUACGAGAUACUGCUGACGGUAUCUGCAGAAUAACCACCGGCCAACCACGUGCCAGCAGCCGCGGUAAUACGUAGGGUGCAAGCGUUAAACGCAAUUACUCGGACUAAAGCGUGUGUAGGCGGUUCGGAAAGAAAGAUGUGAAAUCCCAGGUCUCAACCUUGGAACUGCAUUUUUAACUGCCGAGCUAGAGUAUGUCAGAGGGGGGUAGAAUUCCACGUGUAGCAGUGAAAUGCGUAGAUAUGUGGAGGAAUACCGAUGGCGAAGGCAGCCCCCUGGGAUAAUACUGACGCUCAGACGCGAAAGCGUGGGGAGCGAACA
rnacentral:rRNA from 1 species